AAACCAACCGGGAUUGCCUUAGUAACGGCGAGCGAAGCGGCAAGAGCUCAAAUUUGAAAUCCCCUUGGGGAGUUGUAAUUUGUAGGUCGUGACCUGAGCAAGCAACACAAGUCUCCUGGAACGGAGUGCCUUAGAGGGUGAGAGCCCCGUAAGUUGUAGCUCAUUGUAGGUUGCUUCCAAA
rnacentral:rRNA from 1 species